rnacentral:tRNA from 1 species
GCCUUAGUAGUAUAAAAAUUACAUUGGUUUUGUAAACCAAAGACGGAGUAAUAUCCUCCCUAAGACA